rnacentral:rRNA from 1 species
UACGAAGGGGGCUAGCGUUGUUCGGAAUUACUGGGCGUAAAGCGCACGUAGGCGGAUUUGUUAGUCAGGGGUGAAAUCCCGGGGCUCAACCUCGGAAUUGCCUUCGAUACUGCAAGUCUUGAGUUCGGAAGAGGUGAGUGGAAUUCCUAGUGUAGAGGUGAAAUUCGUAGAUAUUAGGAAGAACACCAGUGGCGAAGGCGGCUCACUGGUCCGGUACUGACGCUGAGGUGCGAAAGCGUGGGGAGCAAACAGG